AUGAGCCAUCAUAUUUUUACUUUCCCAACAAUCCUACCUGAUCUUGGGAGCUAAGCAGUGUCAGCCUUAAUUAGUACUUGAAUGGGAGUCUGGCAAUGAACACUAGAAGCUGUGGGCUAUA
rnacentral:rRNA from 11 species